rnacentral:rRNA from 1 species
GCAGGCGGUCUGUCAAGUCGGAUGUGAAAUCCCCGGGCUCAACCUGGGAACUGCAUUCGAAACUGGCAGGCUAGAGUCUUGUAGAGGGGGGUAGAAUUCCAGGUGUAGCGGUGAAAUGCGUAGAGAUCUGGAGGAAUACCGGUGGCGAAGGCGGCCCCCUGGACAAAGACUGACGCUCAGGUGCGAAAGCGUGGGGAGCAAACAGGAUUAGAUACCCUGGUAGUCCACGCUGUAAACGAUGUCGAUUUGGAGGUUGUGCCCUUGAGGCGUGGCUUCCGGAGCUAACGCGUUAAAUCGACCGCCUGGGGAGUACGGCCGCAAGGUUAAAACUCAAAUGAAUUGACGGGGGCCCGCACAAGCGGUGGAGCAUGUGGUUUAAUUCGAUGCAACGCGAAGAACCUUACCUGGUCUUGACAUCCACAGAACUUUCCAGAGAUGGAUUGGUGCCUUCGGGAACUGUGAGACAGGUGCUGCAUGGCUGUCGUCAGCUCGUGUUGUGAAAUGUUGGGUUAAGUCCCGCAACGAGCGCAACCCUUAUCCUUUGUUGCCAGCGGUUAGGCCGGGAACUCAAAGGAGACUGCCAGUGAUAAACUGGAGGAAGGUGGGGAUGACGUCAAGUCAUCAUGGCCCUUACGACCAGGGCUACACACGUGCUACAAUGGCAUAUACAAAGAGAAGCGACCUCGCGAGAGCAAGCGGACCUCAUAAAGUAUGUCGUAGUCCGGAUUGGAGUCUGCAACUCGACUCCAUGAAGUCGGAAUCGCUAGUAAUCGUAGAUCAGAAUGCUACGGUGAAUACGUUCCCGGGCCUUGUACACACCGCCCGUCACACCAUGGGAGUGGGUUGCAAAAGAAGUAGGUAGCUUAACCUUCGGGAGGGCGCUUACCACUUUGUGAUUCAUGACUGGGGUGAAGUCGUAACAAGGUAACCGUAGGGGAACCUGCGGUUGGAUCACCUCCUUA